rnacentral:rRNA from 1 species
UGGCUCAGGACGAACGCUGGCGGCGUGCCUAAUACAUGCAAGUAGAACGCUGAGGAUUGGUGCUUGCACUAAUCCAAAGAGUUGCGAACGGGUGAGUAACGCGUAGGUAACCUACCUCAUAGCGGGGGAUAACUAUUGGAAACGAUAGCUAAUACCGCAUGACACUAGAGUACACAUGUACUUAAGUUAAAAGGAGCAAUUGCUUCACUAUGAGAUGGACCUGCGUUGUAUUAGCUAGUUGGUGAGGUAACGGCUCACCAAGGCGACGAUACAUAGCCGACCUGAGAGGGUGAUCGGCCACACUGGGACUGAGACACGGCCCAGACUCCUACGGGAGGCAGCAGUAGGGAAUCUUCGGCAAUGGACGGAAGUCUGACCGAGCAACGCCGCGUGAGUGAAGAAGGUUUUCGGAUCGUAAAGCUCUGUUGUUAGAGAAGAACGGUAAUGGGAGUGGAAAAUCCAUUACGUGACGGUAACUAACCAGAAAGGGACGGCUAACUACGUGC